UGCAACCUUCUGAUGUGCUGUUACGACGG
rnacentral:piRNA from 1 species